GAUUGAACGCUGGCGGUAUGCUGGAACACAUGCAAGUCGAACGGAAACGAUACUAGCUUGCUAGUAGGCGUCGAGUGGCGGACGGGUGAGUAACGCGUAGGAAUCUGCCUGAUAGUGGGGGAUAGCCCGAAGAAAUUCGGAUUAAUACCGCAUAAUCUAUUCGUAGUAAAGUGGGGGACUUUCGAGCCUCACGCUAUCAGAUGAGCCUGCGUAAGAUUAGCUUGUUGGUAGGGUAAAAGCCUACCAAGGCGACGAUCUUUAGCUGGUCUGAGAGGAUGAUCAGCCACAUCGGGACUGAGACACGGCCCGAACUCCUACGGGAGGCAGCAGUGGGGAAUAUUGGACAAUGGGGGCAACCCUGAUCCAGCAAUACCGCGUGUGUGAAGAAGGCCUGAGGGUUGUAAAGCACUUUCAAUUGUGAAGAAAAGUUAGCGGUUAAUAACCGUUAGCCUUGACGUUAACUUUAGAAGAAGCACCGGCUAACUCCGUGCCAGCAGCCGCGGUAAUACGGAGGGUGCAAGCGUUAAUCGGAAUUACUGGGCGUAAAGCGUGCGUAGGCGGUUUAUUAAGUCAGAUGUGAAAGCCCCGGGCUUAACCUGGGAACUGCAUUUGAAACUGGUCAACUAGAGUAUGGUAGAGGAAAGUGGAAUUUCUGGUGUAGCGGUGAAAUGCGUAGAUAUCAGAAGGAACAUCAAUGGCGAAAGGCAGCUUUCUGGACCAAUACUGACGCUGAGGUACGAAAGCGUGGGUAGCAAACAGGAUUAGAUACCCUGGUAGUCCACGCCGUAAACGAUGAUAACUAGCCGUUGGGGGGAUUUACCCUUUAGUGGCGAAGCUAACGCGUUAAGUUAUCCGCCUGGGGAGUACGGCCGCAAGGUUAAAACUCAAAGGAAUUGACGGGGACCCGCACAGGCGGUGGAGCAUGUGGUUUAAUUCGAUGCAACGCGAAGAACCUUACCUGGUCUUGACAUCCUGCGAACUUUCUAGAAAUAGAUUGGUGCCUUCGGGAACGCAGUGACAGGUGCUGCAUGGCUGUCGUCAGCUCGUGUCGUGAGAUGUUGGGUUAAGUCCCGUAACGAGCGCAACCCCUAUCCUUAUUUGCCAGCACAUCAUGGUGGGAACUAUAAGGAGACUGCCGGUGAUAAACCGGAGGAAGGCGGGGACGACGUCAAGUCAUCAUGGCCCUUACGACCAGGGCUACACACGUGCUACAAUGGGAAGGACAAAGAGCCGCGAAGCCGCGAGGUGUAGCUAAUCUCAUAAACCUUUUCGUAGUCCGGAUUGGAGUCUGCAACUCGACUCCAUGAAGUCGGAAUCGCUAGUAAUCGUAGAUCAGAAUGCUACGGUGAAUACGUUCCCGGGUCUUGUACACACCGCCC
rnacentral:rRNA from 1 species